rnacentral:rRNA from 1 species
GUGGGGAAUAUUGGACAAUGGGCGAAAGCCUGAUCCAGCCAUGCCGCGUGUGUGAAGAAGGCCUUUUGGUUGUAAAGCACUUUAAGCGAGGAGGAGGCUACCGAGAUUAAUACUCUUGGAUAGUGGACGUUACUCGCAGAAUAAGCACCGGCUAACUCUGUGCCAGCAGCCGCGGUAAUACAGAGGGAGCAAGCGUUAAUCGGAUUUACUGGGCGUAACGCGCGCGUAGGUGGCCAAUUAAGUCAAAUGUGAAAUCCCCGAGCUUAACUUGGGAAUUGCAUUCGAUACUGUUUGGCUAGAGUAUGGGAGAGGAUGGUAGAAUUCCAGAUGUAGCGGUGAAAUGCGUAGAGAUCUGGAGGAAUACCGAUGGCGAAGGCAGCCAUCUGGCCUAAUACUGACACUGAGGUGCGAAAGCAUGGGGAGCAAACAGGAUUAGAAACCCUGGUAGUCC